GCGGGGGGGCGGGGCGUCGGGCCGGAGCCGGGGGUCGCGGGGCUGGAAGGCAGCGAGGAAGGCGCCGGGCCCCUCUAGAGCGUUGCGCGGGCCGAGCGGGGCCGGCCCCCGAGCCUCGAGCAUCUAGGGCUUGGCUUUGUCAGCCGAAAGCUUGCCUGGACCCCCGGGGGCCUCAGGACAUCAGAGGCCGGGGCCUGGCACGGGGCAGGCGGGAAGCUGGUGCCUGGAAGCUGGCUUCUCUUCCCGCACGACCUUGGGGCGAGGCACCUCCUUCUGCAGCUCCGGGGCUGUAUUUUUACAACAUUUCCGCGGCGGCUGAGCUGCUCGGGAGGCGCGACCACGCUCCGUCCAUCCCAGAGCCGGAGGAGUUACGAUCCCAGAGUCGGAAACCGGGGCCCGAGAGAGGGCGGAGGCGACUGGUUCGAGGCCGCACGGGUGACCCCGCCCUCUGAGGCCGCCGGCGGCCUCAGUUUCCCUGUCCUUGGUGCUGAGGACGCCGGGGCCCAGAGGCUCCUGCCGGCGGGGCCGCAUCCCGCCGCGGGGCCUCCACCGCCGCGCGGAACCCGGACCAAAGGUGAAUGACGUGCGGCUGCUGGCUCUGAGGGCGCGCCCCACCCGCCCCCGCGCAGGAGGCAGCCGCGUGACCGUGACUAACGCACCUGUGCCCACCGAGGGGGACGACCGCCCUGCUCCCAUUGGCCACACAGUCCGGUGUCCCUCACUCCUCUUCGACCCCGCCGUCCCGAUCCUUUCUGGAAAUGUGAAGACUGAGUCCUGCAAAGACUGCCUGCUGCAGCUGAGGUCCCAUGGCUAAGAUGAGAGACAAGGGCAGGCAUCCUGGCUCCUUUGUGUGAAGGGUGUGACUUGCCAGAGGACAGAACACUUCCUCCCCAGCAGCCAAACUAAGUCCUAAAUGUAGCUCUAAUUAGCUAAUCCUUGGCUUGGCCACUCAGAGCCCACCCUGGCUAGGCCACCAGGCAGAGACUGGAGAAGCUUGGCAGGUCGUGAUGCUAACAUAAUAGGUUUUACACUAAAAAGGACCAAUUCUGCCAUAGAAGUAGGGGAAGCCUCGCCAGGGGCCGUUUGAGCAAGGCUUUGAAAGGUUGAGAAGGCAUUUACUGGGCAGUCCACUUUCCAGAAGUGAUCUGUGAGGAUGUGUAAUGACGAUGGAGCCCGGCAUGCAGUAGGUGCUCAGGAAAAGUACGGGACCUAUCACUGUCCACAGAACCCCAGAGUGGUAAAUACACCCAUAACCCUUGAGCUGGUGACCCCAGUCCCAAGACCUUCUCCCAAGAAGUUAUCCAAAGCAAAAAGCCCCAUGCAUCAUACUGAGCACUGCCUUGCCAUCUGUGAUUGGAGAAAGCUGGAAGUAAUGUUCGUCCAGCGCCCAGACCAGGCUAUAAAAGAUGCUGGGCCCCAUGCUGGUGUAUCAGACGAGAGUUAAACGUGGCCAGGUUGAAGGUGGUAGGAAGGGUUCAUUGUCCACAUAUUUAUCGAGUAACUUCAAUGCGCCAAUCAUUGGCAGUACCGGACAGUGAGGAGAACAGCUCUGCCUGGCUCCGAUUCCAAUCCAGAAUAGCCACACUGUCCACCCCACUGUCACCCAGUCCCUCUCCCCUCAUCCUUGUUUGUUUAUUGUGUAUUGUCCGUCUGCUCACCACAUGGAAACUCCAGGAGAGCUAGGGCUCGAAUAUCACUCUCUACCCCGUGAUCAGCAGGCUCUGAUGUCCGUGGACACUCAGAUACUUGCCGACCACACCCAAGUCCUGGCUCAGCACUUACUGACCAUAUGUCUUUGGACUGAGCCUGUUUCCUCAGCUGUAAAAAUGGGGAUGUGAGACAAACCUCCGAGAUAUCAUAGGUCCAGUGCCAGACCACCACAAUUAAGGCAAAGGUCACAAUAAAGUCAGGCAAAUAUAUGUUUUGGUUUCCCAGUGCAGAGAAAGGUAUGUUUCUAUGACACUGUAGUUCAUUAAGUGUGCAAUAGCAUGUCUUAAAAAAAAAAAAACAAAGGGUGCCUGGGUGGCCCAGUUGGUUAAGCAGCUGCCUUCAGCUCAGGGCACGAUCCCAGUGUCCUGGGAUCGAACCCCGCAUCAGGCUCCUUGCUUGGUGAGGAGCCUGCUUCUCUCUCUCCCUCUGCCUGCUGCUCUGCCUGCUUGUGCUCUCUUUCUGUAAAAUAAAUAAAUCUAAAAAAAACCC